UACGUAGGCAGCAAGCGUUGUUCGGAGUUACUGGGCGUAAAGGGUGCGUAGGCGGUCCUAUAAGUAUGGUGUGAAAUCUCCCGGCUUAACUGGGAGGGUGCGCCGAAGACUGGAAGGCUUGAGUAUGGGAGAGGUAAGCGGAAUUCCUGGUGUAGCGGUGAAAUGCGUAGAUAUCAGGAGGAACACCUGCGGUGUAGACGGCUUACUGGACCAUAACUGACGCUGAGGCACGAAAGCGUGGGUAGCAAACAGG
rnacentral:rRNA from 1 species